GGUUAAGUGAAUAAGGGCGCACGGUGGAUGCCUUGGCACUAGGAGCCGAUGAAGGACGGGACUAACACCGAUAUGCUUUGGGGAGCUGUAAGU
rnacentral:rRNA from 1 species